rnacentral:rRNA from 1 species
UUAAGUUAAUAAGGGCGCACGGUGGAUGCCUUGGCACUAGAAGCCGAUGAAGGACGUGACUAACGACGAAAUGCUUUGGGGAGCUGUAAGUGAGCAAUGAUCCAGAGAUGUCCGAAUGGGGGAACCCGGCAGGUAAUGCCUGUCACUCAUUACUGUUAAGGUAAUGUAGAGGAAGACGCAGUGAACUGAAACAUCUAAGUAGCUGUAGGAAGAGAAAGCAAAAGCGAUUGCCUUAGUAGCGGCGAGCGAAACGGCAAGAGGGCAAACCGAAGAGUUUACUCUUCGGGGUUGUAGGACUGCAACGUGGACUUAAAGAUUAUAGAAGAACUACCUGGGAAGGUAGGCCAAAGAGAGUAAUAGCCUCGUAUUCGAAAUAGUCUUUAUACCUAGCAGUAUCCUGAGUACGGCGAGACACGAGAAAUCUCGUCGGAAUCUGGGAGGACCAUCUCCCAACCCUAAAUACUCUCUAGUGACCGAUAGUGAACCAGUACCGUGAGGGAAAGGUGAAAAGCACCCCGGGAGGGGAGUGAAAUAGAACCUGAAACCGUGUGCCUACAACAAGUUCGAGCCCGUUAAUGGGUGAGAGCGUGCCUUUUGUAGAAUGAACCGGCGAGUUACGAUAUGAUGCGAGGUUAAGUUGAAGAGACGGAGCCGUAGGGAAACCGAGUCUUAAUAGGGCGCAUUAGUAUCAUGUCGUAGACCCGAAACCAUGUGACCUACCCAUGAGCAGGUUGAAGGUGAGGUAAAACUCACUGGAGGACCGAACCAGGGCACGUUGAAAAGUGCUUGGAUGACUUGUGGGUAGCGGAGAAAUUCCAAACGAACUUGGAGAUAGCUGGUUCUCUCCGAAAUAGCUUUAGGGCUAGCGUCGAUGUUAAGUCUCUUGGAGGUAGAGCACUGUUUGGGUGAGGGGUCCAUCCCGGAUUACCAAUCUCAGAUAAACUCCGAAUGCCAAUGAGAUAUAAUCGGCAGUCAGACUGCGAGUGCUAAGAUCCGUAGUCGAAAGGGAAACAGCCCAGACCACCAGCUAAGGUCCCAAAAUAUAUGUUAAGUGGAAAAGGAUGUGGGGUUGCACAGACAACUAGGAUGUUAGCUUAGAAGCAGCUAUUCAUUCAAAGAGUGCGUAAUAGCUCACUAGUCGAGUGACCCUGCGCCGAAAAUGUACCGGGGCUAAAACAUAUUACCGAAGCUGUGGAUACCUUUAUAGGUAUGGUAGGAGAGCGUUCUAUGUGCGAAGAAGGUGUACCGUGAGGAGUGCUGGAGCGCAUAGAAGUGAGAAUGCCGGUAUGAGUAGCGAAAGACAGGUGAGAAUCCUGUCCACCGUAAGACUAAGGUUUCCAGGGGAAGGCUCGUCCGCCCUGGGUUAGUCGGGACCUAAGGAGAGACCGAAAGGUGUAUCCGAUGGACAACAGGUUGAUAUUCCUGUACUAGAGUAUAUAGUGAUGGAGGGACGCAGUAGGCUAACUAAAGCGUGCGAUUGGAAGUGCACGUCUAAGCAGUGAGGUGUGAUAUGAGUCAAAUGCUUGUAUCUGUAACAUUGAGCUGUGAUGGGGAGCGAAGUUUAGUAGCGAAGUUAGUGAUGUCACACUGCCAAGAAAAGCUUCUAGCGUUAAUUAUACUCUACCCGUACCGCAAACCGACACAGGUAGUCGAGGCGAGUAGCCUCAGGUGAGCGAGAGAACUCUCGUUAAGGAACUCGGCAAAAUGGCCCCGUAACUUCGGGAGAAGGGGCGCUGACUGAUGGUCAGCCGCAGUGAAUAGGCCCAAGCAACUGUUUAUCAAAAACACAGCUCUCUGCUAAAUCGUAAGAUGAUGUAUAGGGGGUGACGCCUGCCCGGUGCUGGAAGGUUAAGAGGAGUGCUUAGCGUAAGCGAAGGCAUGAAUUGAAGCCCCAGUAAACGGCGGCCGUAACUAUAACGGUCCUAAGGUAGCGAAAUUCCUUGUCGGGUAAGUUCC